GACGAACGCUGGCGGCGUGCUUAACACAUGCAAGUCGAACGAUGAGGCCGGAGCUUGCUCUGGUGAAUUAGUGGCGAACGGGUGAGUAACACGUGAGUAACCUGCCCUUGACUCUGGGAUAACUGCGGGAAACUGUAGCUAAUACCGGAUACGACCCUCGGAGGCAUCUCCUGGGGGUGGAAAGAAUUUCGGUCAAGGAUGGACUCGCGGCCUAUCAGCUAGUUGGUGAGGUAAAGGCUCACCAAGGCGACGACGGGUAGCCGGCCUGAGAGGGUGACCGGCCACACUGGGACUGAGACACGGCCCAGACUCCUACGGGAGGCAGCAGUGGGGAAUAUUGCACAAUGGGCGCAAGCCUGAUGCAGCAACGCCGCGUGAGGGAUGACGGCCUUCGGGUUGUAAACCUCUUUUAGCAGGGAAGAAGCGAAAGUGACGGUAUCUGCAGAAAAAGCACCGGCUAACUACGUGCCAGCAGCCGCUGUAA
rnacentral:rRNA from 1 species